rnacentral:rRNA from 1 species
GAUGAACGCUGGCGGCGUGCCUAAUACAUGCAAGUCGAGCGAACAGACGAGGAGCUUGCUCCUCUGACGUUAGCGGCGGACGGGUGAGUAACACGUGGAUAACCUACCUAUAAGACUGGGAUAACUUCGGGAAACCGGAGCUAAUACCGGAUAAUAUAUUGAACCGCAUGGUUCAAUAGUGAAAGACGGUUUUGCUGUCACUUAUAGAUGGAUCCGCGCCGCAUUAGCUAGUUGGUAAGGUAACGGCUUACCAAGGCGACGAUGCGUAGCCUACCUGAGAGGGUGAUCGGCCACACUGGAACUGAGACACGGUCCAGACUCCUACGGGAGGCAGCAGUAGGGAAUCUUCCGCAAUGGGCGAAAGCUUGACGGAGCAACGCCGCGUGAGUGAUGAAGGUCUUCGGAUCGUAAAACUCUGUUAUUAGGGAAGAACAAAUGUGUAAGUAACUAUGCACGUCUUGACGGUACCUAAUCAGAAAGCCACGGCUAACUACGUG